AUCGCUUCUCGGCCUUUUAGCUAAGAUCAAGUGUAGUAUCUGUUCAGGUCAGCUUUAUAUUUCACAUUGCUAUAAACCUAUCUGAUUAUUGCAGUUUUGUGUGACAGAUUGCAUUUUUCAAAAAAUGGCUGACAUAAUACUUCCCAUCUCAUGGGUCUUCUAGAAUCUUAGCAUUCCUCCAUUAGAAGGUGUAAGCUCU
ensembl:snRNA U2 U2 spliceosomal RNA